GUAUAAAACGGGGUCGGCACGGCCGAGGGGCACAGCAGUCAAGAUGAGGUCUACCGUUGUGCUCCUGGGAGUGGUGAUCAUCAGCUUUGCUGUAUUUGCCCAAGUUUGCAUAAGGCCGGGCCAGUGCCCCAGUCAUCGGCUGGUGUUCAAAUCUCGCACAUGGAGGGGUGAGUGCAAAACAGACUGCGAAUGCAACAAAUCUCAUCACAACGGUACCUGGAAGUGCUGCCCAACGUUUUUGGGAAAUCUCUGUCUACCGCCAUGCAACCCCAACUGCACGGGUAUCCAGGUGUGCGCGCUGCUCACCCAGGCGAACCCGUGGACCUCUAUCUGCGUCUAUCCCUGAUCACAGCAAACGGGUGCCGCGGCAUCGGCAAUUUCAAAAGAACUGACGAUCGGAGAUAUUCGCAUUCCCUGCAGCUGGAGGGCAGAGACAGCCAUUUGGUAGAUGGUGUCAGUUAUCGUCGCAAGGUAGUCAUGGCUGGGAGCUUCAGCGAAGUUUGUACACUGCGACUCGAAGAUAAGUUUUCACCAUGUCGCAGUGCCCUGCUGUCUGCACCUGUCUUGCUGUUUCACCCGUGUGUGCGCUGAGUGACGAAAGGUAAAUGUUGUUCAGCCUGUUUCGCACCUUGAUGUUUUCUGGUGAGAAAUACAUGGGCUACGAUUUA